UACGAAGGGGGCUAGCGUUGUUCGGAAUUACUGGGCAUAAAGGGCGCGUAGGCGGUUUGUACAGUCAGAUGUGAAAUUCCCGGGCUCAACCUGGGGGCUGCAUUUGAUACGUAUGGACUUGAGUUCGGAAGAGGGUCGUGGAAUUCCCAGUGUAGAGGUGAAAUUCGUAGAUAUUGGGAAGAACACCGGUGGCGAAGGCGGCGACCUGGUCCGAUACUGACGCUGAGGCGCGACAGCGUGGGGAGCAAACAGG
rnacentral:rRNA from 1 species